rnacentral:tRNA from 1 species
AUAUUAAUAGUUAAUAAAUAACUUUAAAAUGCAAUUUUAAAAUAAACAAGAAAAGUUUUAAUAUA